UUUAAAAUUUUUAAAAGGGGCGGGCAAUAUGAAUAUUUUCAAUAAAAAAAAUUUAAAAAUUAAAUUUUUAAAUUUUUAAUUUUAAAUCCAAUUUUAAAAUUUUAUUACAAUAAAUUUUUCCAACAAUUUUUUUAAAAUAGUAUUCCAUUAAAAAUUUAAUUAUAAAAUAUAUUAUGAUUUGAAAUCUUUUCUUUUUUUUUAAAAAAAAAAAAAAUAAUUUUUAAAUAUUAUUUUAACAACAAUAUAUAAUUAAAUAAAUUAAAUAAAUUAUAUUGGGUAUUAUCAAUUAAAAAACAAAAUCCUCUAAUUUUAUUAAAUACUACCAAAUUAAUUAAUUUUAAUAAAUAAAAUAAUAAUUUUAUUUUUUUUAAAAAAAUAAAUAAUA
rnacentral:rRNA from 1 species